CACCAUUAAACCCUCGCAAAGUCCUCAAUCACACUCCUGUCCUCUGGGUGCUAUUCUGCCCUCGUCUCUUCCGAGAUUGAUUCAUUUCAGUACUCAGCAGAAGUCAGAAAUGGCUUGGCGCUCUGGAUCUCUGUCUCGCUCAUUGAUGAGCGCAGCUAGGGCUUCUCUUCGCCCUUCGCCGCCGUCUCCGCUUCCCCGUCUUCGGCCACCGCCACUUACCGCCCCUCUCCCUCGGCCCCGCCGCUUUUCGUCUGCCACUUCCAGGAGCUUGGGCGAACUGGGAUGCGCUCAAUCGCUUUUGCCACUGCAUAAUACUAGUACCUGUCUCACAUCGCACUUCGCUGUCAGCGCACGGGCUUGUUGCGAGCUGUCCCAUGGUACCUUCCGCCGUUCUUGUCAAGAUCGCUAGUAGUUUCUUUGUAGGAAUGGAAAAGAUGGGUGAUGCGCAAGGACAUGGAUCAUCCAAUGGCAUGAGAAGAAUGCUGCAUAGUGCAUAGUACCUGAGGGAGCUGUUGGAUCUACAUGGCUUGUUCAAGAAUAUCAAGCGAUGAUUUACCGGGUUGUGGUCUGUGGGGAGGUCACUUAGUUACCCCAAAAAAAUUAAAAAAAAAAAACUUGUGUAGGAGUCCUGAUUCCUGAUUGAGACUCUCUGUUUAUGCAAUUUCUAGUUUGAGGGAGGUUCUACUUCCUAUUUCUGAUUUGUGUAGGAAUGUCAGCUCUUGCUUAAUUCUUGUAUCUGGUCUCUUGGCUGCGUGCUAUAAUUGCUUCCUCUUUCAUUUCACUAUUCGGGAAUAA